UCACUCUCAUUGUUUAGGAUC
ensembl:piRNA 21ur-3734 ncRNA